GUUUUAAUAGUUUAAUAAAAACAUUGGUCUUGUAAAUCAAAAAUAAGACGCAUUCUUUUAAAACU
rnacentral:tRNA from 1 species